rnacentral:rRNA from 1 species
UUCGCAAUGCCCGAAAGGGUGACGAAGCGACGCCGCGUGUGGGAAGAAGGCCUUCGGGUUGUAAACCACUGUCGGGAGUUAAGAAAUGCAAGGGUGCUAAUAGUAUCCUUGCUUGACUAAGGCUCCGGAGGAAGCCACGGCUAACUCUGUGCCAGCAGCCGCGGUAAUACAGAGGCGGCAAGCGUUGUUCGGAAUUAUUGGGCGUAAAGAGCACGUAGGCGGCUAUGUAAGUCGGUUGUGAAAGCCUUCCGCUCAACGGAAGAACAGCAUCCGAUACUGCAUGGCUUGAGUGCGGGAGGGGAGAGUGGAACUUCUGGUGGAGCGGUGAAAUGCGUAGAUAUCAGAAGGAACGCCGGCGGCGAAAGCGGCUCUCUGGCCCAUAACUGACGCUGAGUGUGCGAAAGCUAGGGGAGCAAACGGGAUUAGAUACCCCGGUAGCCCUAGCCGUAAACGAUGGGCACUAAGUAGAGGGGUUUU